AGAAUCAACGCUGGCGGCGUGCCUAACACAUGCAAGUCGAACGCGAAAGCCCCGCAAGGGGCAAGUAGAGUGGCAAACGGGUGAGUAACGCGUGGGCGACCUACCUCUGAGUGGGGGAUAACCGUUCCGAAAAGGAGGGCUAAUACCGCAUGACAUCCCAUGUUUGGAUACAUGGACAUCAAAGCCGGGGAUCGCAAGACCUGGCGCUUGGAGAGGGGCCCGCGUCCGAUUAGCUAGUUGGUGGGGUAACGCCCACCAAGGCUCCGAUCGGUA
rnacentral:rRNA from 1 species